GCUGGGCGUGGUGGUGCACACCUGUAAUCCCAGCGACUUGGGAGGUUGAGGCAGGAGGAUCAUGAACUCAAAGCCAGACUCAGCAACUUAGUAAGGCCCUAAGCAACUCAGUGAGACCCCUGCCUCUA
rnacentral:sRNA from 1 species